UACGGAGGGUGCAAACGUUGCUCGGAAUCAUUGGGCGUAAAGCGCACGUAGGCGGUCCAGCAAGUCGGGUGUGAAAGCCCAGGGCUCAACCCUGGAAGUGCAUUCGAAACUGCUGGACUUGAGUACCGGAGAGGGUGGCGGAAUUCCCGGUGUAGAGGUGAAAUUCGUAGAUAUCGGGAGGAACACCAGUGGCGAAGGCGGCCACCUGGACGGAUACUGACGCUGAGGUGCGAAAGCGUGGGGAGCAAACAGG
rnacentral:rRNA from 1 species